rnacentral:rRNA from 1 species
UACGGAAGGGGCAAGCGUUGUUCGGAAUCAUUGGGCGUAAAGGGCGCGCAGGUGGUUCUGUAUGUCUACCGUGAAAGCGUACGGCUCAACCGUAUUUUGUCGGUAGAAACUGCAGGACUUGAGGCUGGGAGGGGCUGGUGGAAUUCCUGGUGUAGCGGUGAAAUGCGCAGAUAUCAGGAAGAACACCCGUGGCGAAGGCGGCUUUCUGGGACGGUACUGACGCUGAGACGCGAAAGCGUGGGGAGCGAACAGG